GUGUGUACAGUGUGUGUUUGUGUGCUAGUGAGAUCUUGAUUCUUGAAUCUUAAUAAUAUGUCAAAAAAGAGGGAUUGUAGGCCAGCGGGAAUUUCGGGAUAAGUAUUUCAGUUGGCAACAGGUUUAAAGAGGAAACACUGAAAUGAAAAUCGAACCAUAUCUUUUUUGACUUUAAAUGUCAUCACUCAUCAGUGGAUAUGUUGUCUCUCAUUAUUAC
rnacentral:lncRNA from 1 species